rnacentral:rRNA from 1 species
AGAUAAGGAGCUUGCUCCUUUGACGUUAGCGGCGGACGGGUGAGUAACACGUGGGUAACCUACCUAUAAGACUGGAAUAACUUCGGGAAACCGAAGCUAAUGCCGGAUAACAUGUAGAACCGCAUGGUUCUACAGUGAAAGAUGGCCUUGCUAUCACUUAUAGAUGGACCCGCGCCGUAUUAGCUAGUUGGUAAGGUAACGGCUUACCAAGGCAACGAUACGUAGCCGACCUGAGAGGGUGAUCGGCCACACUGGAACUGAGACACGGUCCAGACUCCUACGGGAGGCAGCAGUAGGGAAUCUUCCGCAAUGGGCGAAAGCCUGACGGAGCAACGCCGCGUGAGUGAUGAAGGUCUUCGGAUCGUAAAGCUCUGUUAUUAGGGAAGAACAAGUGCGUAAGUAACUGUGCGCACCUUGACGGUACCUAAUCAGAAAGCCACGGCUAACUACGUGCCAGCAGCCGCGGUAAUACGUAGGUGGCAAGCGUUAUCCGGAAUUAUUGGGCGUAAAGCGCGCGUAGGCGGUUUCUUAAGUCUGAUGUGAAAGCCCACGGCUCAACCGUGGAGGGUCAUUGGAAACUGGGAGACUUGAGUGCAGAAGAGGAAAGUGGAAUUCCAUGUGUAGCGGUGAAAUGCGCAGAGAUAUGGAGGAACACCAGUGGCGAAUGCGACUUUCUGGUCUGUAACUGACGCUGAUGUGCGAAAGCGUGGGGGAUCAAACAGGAUUAGAUACCCUGGUAGUCCACGCCGUAAACGAUGAGUGCUAAGUGUUAGGGGGUUUCCGCCCCUUAGUGCUGCAGCUAACGCAUUAAGCACUCCGCCUGGGGAGUACGACCGCAAGGUUGAAACUC